UGCAGUUAUCAUGGAAGUAUUUUAGAGGAAAAGUUACCAAAGAAUCAUUUCAUUAUUGUUCACAGGUACAAAUCCUAAAAUAAAAAGAAGCAGCAUGACCUAGUGCUAGGUACUGUACUUUGCACACAGUAAGCACUCAAUAAAUACAACUGAAUGAAUGAAUCAAACCGAUUGUCCUAAUAAUGUCCCUCAGCACACUCUACAGCUGUCUGUAAUUGAGCAUCACAGAAAAAUGCCCUUCACUUGCAUGUUAGGAAUUGCAGUUUGAUUUUUCUUGUUUCAGCAGGGCUGUUGUGAUGUCGCUGCACAACUUUUCACUGACAUCUUCAUUCUCCAGGACCUGAACAUUCAGCUGUUAAGGUGGUUUGGAGGCUGUUUUCCAGCACUGUGCUUUUUAGGUCUCUGUCCAUCACUGCAUGGGUCACCACGAAAUGACCCCUCCGCCCAGAUUUGGAAUGUAGAAGGACUCAACAGCCUGUCUCAGUCCUGCCAUCAGCCUCUCAAUGUCAACUGAGAUCCAACCUGAUCAAGUUCCACUUGGAGUUCACCUUUUAAGUUGGUGGGGGAACAGUAAUGAGGGAGAACUUAAAGAGGGAAGAGAUAGAGCCAAGAGGUAUGAAGCAGCACAUGGAGGAAAGUUUGACAGGAACAACAGAACAGUAGUUCAAGAAGCCAUUCUAAGCAGACCAGACAUUUUUCCAAGUUCUCUGUGAGGAAGACUCUGCCCUACCCAAAGUGAGGAAGAACUCCUGCACUACUGACAGAAACCAAACUCCUUCCAGAGUGACCCAGUACCUUUUGGGAAAUCCUUUAGACCUCCAACUCUGAUGUUCUUCUGGCUCUCUCCUCCCUGGAACUUCUCUUGUCAGCCAAGCCUAUUUAAUAUGGUUCCACCCAUGACUUCACCUUCUACAAAUGACCGUGGAAUUUUCUCUCAAGACUUUCUUUGGAAACUAAUAAAUUAAAAUUGUGCAUGAAAGGCAAUAUGAAAAAGCUUUCAUUUUUCUUGUAUCAAAUGGAAUAUUUUGAAAUAUUUUUAUUUUUCAAGUAUAAUAAAAUUUGAAUGGCAUUCAAACCA